rnacentral:rRNA from 1 species
AACGAACGCUGGCGGCAUGCCUAACACAUGCAAGUCGAACGAGACCUUCGGGUCUAGUGGCGCACGGGUGCGUAACGCGUGGGAAUCUACCCUUGGGUUCGGAAUAACAGUUAGAAAUGACUGCUAAUACCGGAUGAUGACGUAAGUCCAAAGAUUUAUCGCCCAAGGACGAGCCCGCGUAAGAUUAGGUAGUUGGUGGGGUAAAGGCCUACCAAGCCGACGAUCUUUAGCUGGUCUGAGAGGAUGAUCAGCCACACUGGGACUGAGACACGGCCCAGACUCCUACGGGAGGCAGCAGUGGGGAAUAUUGGACAAUGGGCGAAAGCCUGAUCCAGCGAUGCCGCGUGAGUGAUGAAGGCCUUAGGGUUGUAAAGCUCUUUUACCAGGGAUGAUAAUGACAGUACCUGGAGAAUAAGCUCCGGCUAACUCCGUGCCAGCAGCCGCCGUAA